rnacentral:rRNA from 1 species
UGGGGAAUAUUGCGCAAUGGGCGGAAGCCUGACGCAGCAACGCCGCGUGAGGGAUGACGGCCUUCGGGUUGUAAACCUCUUUCAGCAGGGACGAAGCGAGAGUGACGGUACCUGCAGAAGAAGCGCCGGCCAACUACGUGCCAGCAGCCGCGGUAACACGUAGGGCGCGAGCGUUGUCCGGAUUUAUUGGGCGUAAAGGGCUCGUAGGUGGUUUGUCACGUCGAAAGUGAAAAUCCGGGGCUCAACUCCGGACUUGCUUUCGAUACGGGCAGACUAGAGGUAGGCAGGGGAGAAUGGAAUACCUGGUGUAGCGGUGGAAUGCGCAGAUAUCAGGUGGAACACCGGUGGCGAAGGCGGUUCUCUGGGCCUUACCUGACACUGAGGAGCGAAAGCGUGGGGAGCGA